CCUACGGGUGGCAGCAGUGGGGAAUAUUGCGCAAUGGGCGAAAGCCUGACGCAGCGACGCCGCGUGAGGGAUGAAGGUCUUCGGUGUGUAAAGCUCUGUCAGUGGGGAAGAAACUUCACGGUACCCACCACGGAUGAAUCGACCAACUCCGUACCAGCAGCCUCGGUAAUACGGGGGAUGCCCGCGUUGUCGGGAAUCAUGGGGCGUAACGUGGUCGUAGGUGGGACGUUAAGUCUGGUGUUAAAGGCAAAGGCUCAACCUCGGUUCGGCACUGGAUACUGGCGAGCUUGAUUACGGUAGAGGUAAAGGGAAUUCGCGGUGUAGCGGUGAAAUGCGUAGAUAUCAGGAGGAACAGCGGUGGCGAAGGCGACUUACUGGGUCAUAACUGACGCUGAGGAACGAAAGCGAGGGUAGCAAACGGGAUUAGAUACCCGGGUAGUC
rnacentral:rRNA from 1 species